rnacentral:lncRNA from 1 species
CACUUCUAUAGAUACAUAUUGGUAAUUAUAGUUUUAGGUAUAUCACUGGAAGAUCAACUGAAAAAUAAACAUCCUUGGAACUGAGAAAAAUGGGAAAAGUUACAUACUUCUACCACUAAGUAAUGUUUUAUUUUACAGAAGGUAGUUUGUUAUGCAUGCAGAACAGGUUUAUGCUAGAAUAAUCACUGCGCAUUUUAAGCAUCUUCCAGUCCCACAGCAGGCAGUGCGGAAUAGCGUCUGGAACAUGUUACAGUUAUACAUAAAGCCUGUGUAGUAUCAGCUAGUUAUCUGUUUGAUUAACUGUGGCACCGUUUGCAUUUAUUGGCCGGACCAUGUUUCACAACUUAGUCUGCAAAGUCUGUAAGAUAGCCACAUCUUGCAGUUUGUAUACGUUUUUAAAACACACAGCUACACAAAGACAGGGAUGCCAACUUUUAUUAUCAGACCCUCCUGCAAACUCUUAUUACAGCUGUAUCUUCCUGUGUGCAUCUUCCCGGGGGCCACGGCCGGGUUUUCCCGUCAGGCCGUCUCCCCCAGCCGGCAUUAGGAGCGCCGUGCCCCGCAGGGGCCCGCCAGCCCCGCACUCCCCCCCCGUCAGGCUCCAGCAGCGCCCGCCCGCCAUUUUCCCCUCCGUGAGGUGAGCCGGGGCGAGGUGAGCCCAGGUCAAGGCCCCGCGGCUCCCACCGCGCCUGCGCGCUCCGCUCCCCUCCCCGCGGGCCUGCGCGGGAUCCCCUUUCCCCACACCCUCUCUGCCUCCCUCCCUCCGCGCAUGCGCAGGCGGCGGCUGUGGCGGGGGGUGCGCUGCGGCUGGCAGUGCGCGGCGGCGCAGGCGCGGUGGGGGCAGUGGCGGGCCCGGCGGCUGCGGCGGCGGCGGGAGGAGGAGGAGGAGGAGGAGGAAGGAGGAGAAGAAGGGAGGAGGAAGGAGGAGGACGGCGAGCGGCAGCCCGACCGACUGCGAGGAACAGGCGAAGUGAGGUGCAGUUCAAGCCGCGACGUGAAGCGACAGCCAGGCGCAGAGCACCUGAGCGCAGCCCCGAGCCCCCAGCCCCGCGCAGCACGGGGUUUGUCGGUGACACGCUUUGACAGGCGGUGCUUCUGGGGGCACUGUUGGCUCGAACAGGCCCGGCUGCUCCUUGCUCCCUGCGCUCACCUCGUUGCUGCCCCCCUCAGCUGUGCCAGCACAGCGGUUCGUGGAACUGUGUCCCAUAACUAGGUUGGGGAAGUGAUCCAGGUUAAAAUUAACUACCUUUUUUUUUUUUUUUUUUAAUGGGGUUAUAUUUAACCUAGAUCAUUGCUCCGGGUGACAGGUGUGCCAGAAGGCAAGAGGAUUGUUUAAGCAAACACUCUGGUGAAAGAAAUGCUUGAGAAACACAGCUCAACUCUAGUAGCCCUGGCAAAGUGCAGUGUGAGCAGCUGUGCCACUCUCUUUGGUCACACAGGAACAAAAUUGAUAAUGUCUAUGAAUAUUUAGGGUUUGGGGGCUGUUACUGUAGACAGUAUCUGGUUGUUACAAUAGAGGAAUUUUAUUCAACAGGAUGAGACACUUUGCAAUUUAUUUUUUUUUAAGAAGCUACCGAUUUUCAUAUAUAUCAAUUUAAGAUACUUUCUCAAAAUCAUUGAACACUUUGUUUUCAGAUAUACCAAAUACUAAAUGUUUGUGUUCGGGUUUUUUGUGUGGACCUGAGUGCUAGUGCUUUUAAGGGGUAAGAGUUCUGUUGGUUGGGCAAGAUUUAUCUCUUUCUAAGAAACAGUCCUAACAGCAAAAAAAUAACCCCCAGGUUGAUACUAAUAUUUUAAGAUCUCUUCCAGGCAUGUCUUUUUCUCUUUGUUUGUUCUGCUUCACGUUCUUAUAUUAAAAAGUUUAACAAAUGUAGGUAAAAUAAAAGGAUGUGAGGAAAGCA